rnacentral:lncRNA from 1 species
CACAGUGCUGUGUUAUACAUCCUGGGCGCGGAUUGGCUGAGAAACUGCUCUUUUCCCAGCUCAGGCACCAUAGCACCAUCUAGAGGAGCAUCCUCUGUGAAGAAGAGUCUCAUCAUAGCUGCCCUCAUCACCUCUAAAUGCCAAUGACUUGAAACAGACAAGUCACUUUGGGAAGCAUUCUUGCUCAAGAGUUUUACUCUUACUAGAGAACAGAUGCUUGGAUUCCUAUGGGAGCUGGCCCAAGAGCCCAUGUAUCGCUUUCUUCAGUGUCACGCUGGCUGGUAACUAAGAUUUUGAGCUACUGAGCACUUGGACAUUCACAUUAAUAGAAGGGAUUUUCUCACCUUGAAGAUUCCUAAACCAAUAAAAUUACAGGUAAGGUUAACA